UCUUCAUUUUCCUUAAACAAUUUUUAAACUAUCAGAAAUAUGCCAGUGAAUGUGAUUAUUUGACUUAGGUCCAUUCACUCCAUCCACUCCUUCAUUCAAACUCUUCUUGUGUACCUGCUCAGGGCCAGGCAUGUGCUUGCCACCCAGGAUACCAAGAGGAGAACCACAUAGUCCCUGCCCUCCAGAAGCCUGCCAUCUGGUGAGGAGAGAUGCUUCAACAUGCUAACGCCCAUGAUAAAGGUUCAAGGUGUGUGAUGGCACAAGUUAUCAGAAGAAAUGCCCUGAACUAAAGUCUGGACAGAUAAAGGUGAGUGGACUGUGCUUCCCAGCUGUUGGAUUCUAAGCUUGGCUAUGUGGCUUACUUUGGCUGACGGGAUAUUAGCAGACUGUUGCAUGCAGAAUUUGAAAAGCACUUAUGUGAUUGAACUUGUGCUCUCACGUUUUGUCAUCAGAAGCAGCAGAACACGCUGAUGACUAGCCCACUGGUUCUAAUAGAUGGAACAAGGCCAGUCAGUCCUGGCCAAGUUCAGCCUAAAUCAGCAAAGCUGCCCAGCUGAGCCUAGUGGAGAUCUGCCAACCCUCAGCUGAUUCACAGAUCAAUGAUAAUAAAUUGCUGUUAUUUUAAGCCACUGAGUUUUUGGAUGUUUGUCAUAUAGCAUUUUGUGGCAAUGGCUUUUGGUGUCAGGGAUUGGUAUCUAUUGGUAUUAGGAAUUGGUAUCAGCAGUAGGAUAUAGACAGAAGAGGAGCAAAAAAAAUAAGUAGCAUUGGUUUGGGGACUGAAUGGUAGGCAACAGAAGCCUAAUAAGAGGCUGGAAAUAAAAUCUAGACCUGUGUUAUGUAGGAAUGAAAUGGUUCGUGAAUGUUUGGUAACUUGGAAUAUUCACCUAAAAAUAUUUGGAUUUGUGCUGAGAGAUCUACAGAGAAAAUGAUGGAAGGGUGAACUCAUCAUAUGUAGCUACAGAUAAUAGACGUGCAAGAAAGAAAUGAAUUCCUAAAAAAAAAAAGAAAAAGAAAUGAAUUCCUAGGUGAACCAGCCAGUUUUCAAGGAAAAUGUAGAUGAAAUAGA